rnacentral:rRNA from 1 species
GACGAACGCUGGCGGCGUGCUUAACACAUGCAAGUCGAACGGAAAGGCCCUGCUUUUGCGGGGUGCUCGAGUGGCGAACGGGUGAGUAACACGUGAGUAACCUGCCCUUGACUUUGGGAUAACUUCAGGAAACUGGGGCUAAUACCGGAUAGGAGCUCCUGCUGCAUGGUGGGGGUUGGAAAGUUUCGGCGGUUGGGGAUGGACUCGCGGCUUAUCAGCUUGUUGGUGGGGUAGUGGCUUACCAAGGCUUUGACGGGUAGCCGGCCUGAGAGGGUGACCGGCCACAUUGGGACUGAGAUACGGCCCAGACUCCUACGGGAGGCAGCAGUGGGGAAUAUUGCACAAUGGGCGGAAGCCUGAUGCAGCAACGCCGCGUGCGGGAUGACGGCCUUCGGGUUGUAAACCGCUUUCGCCUGUGACGAAGCGUGAGUGACGGUAAUGGGUAAAGAAGCCCCGGCUAACUACGUG